AGUGAACGCUGGCGGCAGGCCUAACACAUGCAAGUCGAACGGCAGCACAGUCCCGCAAGGGAUGGGUGGCGAGUGGCGGACGGGUGAGGAAUACAUCGGAAUCUACCUUGUCGUGGGGGAUAACGUAGGGAAACUUACGCUAAUACCGCAUACGACCUACGGGUGAAAGCGGCGGACCGCAAGGCGUCGCGCGAUUGGAUGAGCCGAUGUCCGAUUAGCUAGUUGGCGGGGUAAAGGCCCACCAAGGCGACGAUCGGUAGCUGGUCUGAGAGGAUGAUCAGCCACACUGGAACUGAGACACGGUCCAGACUCCUACGGGAGGCAGCAGUGGGGAAUAUUGGACAAUGGGCGCAAGCCUGAUCCAGCCAUGCCGCGUGUGUGAAGAAGGCCUUCGGGUUGUAAAGCACUUUUGUUGGGGAAGAAAAGAUUCCGGUUAAUACCCGGGUUUUCUGACGGUACCCAAAGAAUAAGCACCGGCUAACUUCGUGCCAGCAGCCGCGGUAAAAC
rnacentral:rRNA from 1 species